rnacentral:rRNA from 1 species
AGUGAACGCUGGCGGUAGGCCUAACACAUGCAAGUCGAACGGCAGCACAGUAAGAGCUUGCUCUUACGGGUGGCGAGUGGCGGACGGGUGAGGAAUACAUCGGAAUCUACUUUUUCGUGGGGGAUAACGUAGGGAAACUUACGCUAAUACCUCAUACGACCUACGGGUGAAAGCAGGGGAUCUUCGGACCUUGCGCGAUUGCAUGAGCCGAUGUCGGAUUAGCUAGUUGGCGGGGUAAAGGCCCACCAAGGCGACGAUCCGUAGCAGGUCAGAGAGGAGGAUCAGCCACACUGGAACUGAGACACGGUCCAGACUCCUACGGGAGGCAGCAGUGGGGAAUAUUGGACAAUGGGCGCAAGCCUGAUCCAGCAAUACCGCGUGGGUGAAGAAGGCCUUCGGGUUGUAAAGCCCUUUUGUUGGGAAAGAACAGCACUUGGUUCAGACACCGCUGUUUUGACGGUACCCAAAGAAUAAGCAACGGCUAACUACGUG